rnacentral:rRNA from 1 species
ACGCGAAGAACCUUACCCAGGCUUGAACUGCGAGUGACCACUUCCGAAAGGGAGCUUCCGCAAGGACACUCGUAGAGGUGCUGCAUGGCUGUCGUCAGCUCGUGUCGUGAGAUGUUGGGUUAAGUCCCGCAACGAGCGCAACCCUUGUUUGCUGUUGCCAUCAGGUUAUGCUGGGCACUCUGCAAAGACUGCCGGUGAUAAACCGGAGGAAGGUGGGGAUGACGUCAAGUCAGCAUGGCCUUUAUGUCUGGGGCUACACACGUGCUACAAUGGCCGAUACAAACCGUCGCGAGCCCGCAAGGGGGAGCUAAUCGGAGAAAGUCGGUCUCAGUUCGGAUCGCAGGCUGCAACCCGCCUGCGUGAAGUUGGAAUCGCUAGUAAUCGCGGAUCAGCACGCCGCGGUGAAUACGUUCCCGGGCCUUGUA